rnacentral:rRNA from 1 species
GGGGGGUGCGAGCGUUGUCCGGAUUCACUGGGCGUAAAGGGCGCGUAGGCGGCUUGAUCAGUCCGAUCUGUAAGUGCGGGGCUUAACCCCGUGAUGGGUUGGGGACGGUUAGGCUGGGGCGCGGCAGAGGGAGACGGAAUGCCGGGUGUAGUGGUGAAAUGCGUAGAGAUCCGGCGGAACACCGGUGGUGAAGGCGGUCUCCUGGGCCGAGGGCCGACGCUGAGGCGCGAGAGCGUGGGGAGCGAACCGGAUUAGAUACCCGGGUAAUCCACGCCGUAAACGGUGGAUGCUAGGUGUGAGGGGUAUCGACCCCCCUCGUGCCGGCGCGAACGCAGGAAGCAUCCCGCCUGGGGAGUACGGCCGCAAGGCUA